AGCCGCCGCGGUAAUACCAGCAGUUCAAGUUGCAUCCCUUUUUAUUGGGUCUAAAACAUCCGUAGCUUGCCGUUUAAGUCUCUUGUGAAAUCCUACGUCUCAAGCGUGGGGCUUGCAGGAGAUACUGAGCGGCUAGAGAUCGGUAGACGUAAGGAGUACGCCGGGGGUAAUGGUUAAAUAUGUUAAUCCUCGGUGGACUAACAAUGAGCGAAGGCACCUUACGAGGACGAAUCUGACAGUGAGGGAUGAAGGCCAGGGGCGCAAAACGGAUUAGAUACCCGUGUAGUCCUGGCAGUAAACACUGCUCACUAGACAUCGGGCCCUCUUCGGGAGGAUUCGGUGCUGAAGCGAAGGCGAAGAGUGAGCUACCUGGGAAGUAUAGUCGCAAGAUCGAAACUUAAAGGAAUUGGCGGGGAGACAUACAACGAGUGACGCGUGCGGUUCAAUUAGAUUUUACACCGUGAACCUCACCAGGAGCGACAGCAGGAUGAAGGUCAGCCUAAAGGGCUUACCUGACACGCUGAGCGGAGAUGCAUGGCCGACGUCAGCCUGUGCUGUGAAGUGACCUGUUAAAUCAGGUAACAGGCGAGACCCGUGUCGAUAAUUACUACAGAAAUGGGUACUUUAUCGAGACUGCCUUGGUAACAAGGAGGAAGGUGCGGGCUACGUUAGGUGAGUACGUCCCUAAUCCCCUGGGCUACACGCGCGCGGCAAUGAUAUGUUCAAUGAGAUGCGACUCCGAAAGGAGAAGCUAAUCCCUUAACGCAUAUCUCAGUCCAGAUCGAGGGUUGCAACCCACCCUCGUUACGUUGGAAUUCGUAGUAAUCGGAUAUUAGCACUGUCCGGUGAAUAAGUCCCUGUCUCU
rnacentral:rRNA from 1 species